GGCGAAGCUGGGAUAGAAGGCGAACUCCUUGGCCCUGGAGGACAGGUCGUCACCCGGCAGGGCGCCCGACGGCUCGGGACUUGUCGGGCUUCCUGUGCUCAGUUUGGUGCCUCAGUAGAGGCACCCCUUUCCAGAGAGCAUCUCCGUGGGAUUGAGCCAAGUUCCCUUUCAGCACAGGGCCUCCCUGAGGAGAAGAGAUAUCCCCAGGAAAAUGAAGAGGCAGAUGUCUGUGUCUUUCUAAAGUUGAGGGGUGAAAUUCCUGGCCCGCUGUGUUAGAGACCAAGUCGGAGGGGUAAGUUAGCAGCAUUUGCAGCAGGAGCGUGCAAGGUUGCCGUACACACUCGAGGGCUGGGUGAAGCUUGAAUGUCAGGCUAGGGAAAAGGGGAUGAGAUAAAUGAGGUUGGCGUACCCCUUAUUCAGGGCCCAGAUUGCCUUCUUUGGAAAUCAAGCAUCAGUUGAUUUCCCUUCCUCCCGCUCUUUCCUCUGUUUCCUCCAUAUUGCCCAGGAAAAAAAAAAGAGCUUGA